rnacentral:rRNA from 1 species
CGGCGUGCCUAACACAUGCAAGUCGUACGAGAAAGCCGGCUUCGGCUGGUGAGUAAAGUGGCGCACGGGUGAGUAACGCGUGGAUAAUCUGCCCUUAAGUGUGGAAUAACGUACCGAAAGGUGCGCUAAUACCGCAUAAUGCCUGGCAACACAAGUUGUCCGGCCAAAGAAGGCCUCUGUUUACAAGCUUUCGCUUCAGGAUGAGUCCGCGUACCAUUAGCUUGUUGGUGGGGUAAUGGCCUACCAAGGCUGCGAUGGUUAGCUGGUCUGAGAGGAUGAUCAGCCACACUGGAACUGAGACACGGUCCAGACUCCUACGGGAGGCAGCAGUGAGGAAUAUUGCGCAAUGGGGGCGAACCCUGACGCAGCAACGCCGCGUGAGUGAGGAAGGUUUUCGGACUGUAAAGCUCUGUCGAGCGGGAAGAAGUGUACCAUGGCUAAUAUCCAUGAUAUUUGACGGUACCGCUAGAGGAAGCACCGGCUAACUCCGUG